rnacentral:rRNA from 1 species
CGUAGGUAAUCUUCCCUUGAGCGGGGGACAACGAUUCGAAAGGAUCGCUAAUACCGCAUAAGUUUCCAGAGACCCCGGUCUUUGGAAGGAAAGCUAGGCCGCAAGGUCCGGCACUCGAGGAGGAGCCUGCGUAGCAUCAGCUAGUUGGUGGGGUAAUGGCCUACCAAGGCGAAGACGCUUAGCUGGUCUGAGAGGAUGAUCAGCCACACUGAAACUGAGACACGGUUCAG